AAUUUCAAAAGAAGCGGAAGAAGAGAAUGAAGUGCACGCAGAAAAGCCGAGGGAGUUCAAUAAAAUGGAAGACGGUCGUAAACUCGCAGCGAGGCCUGCCCUCGGUCUCCAUGUGAGGGGAGGUGCCGAGGGGAACUAUACCUUCGCGACCAACACUGGCAACUGCCAUCGAAUUUCAAAGAGACUAAAGGCUCAGUAAAAUGGCUUUAUACGGAGAAGAAACAACUACAUGCCGUCAGUGAUUGGUAAUUGAACGCGAUAGGGUAUCUGGUUCACCUGGAUUUGUGUGGGCCCAAACGGCCCCAAGAGGCCCGGUACAC